GCCCUUUUAGCUCAUCGGUAGAGCGCGUCACUAGUAUCCUUAUUCCCUAGAACAUGACGAGGUGACUGGUUCGAUUCCAGUAAAGGGCA